rnacentral:rRNA from 1 species
UGAACGCUGGCGGCGACGCCUAACACAUGCAAGUCGAACGGAGUUUAUGGGAGCUGCUCCUAUAAACUUAGUGGCGGACGGGUGAGUAACACGUGAGCAACCUGCCUUCAGAGAGGAAUAGCUCUGGAAACGGAUGGUAAUACCUCAUAACAUACUGAUACGGCAUCGUAUUGAUAUCAAAGAUUUAUCGCUGAAAGAUGGGCUCGCGUCUGAUUAGCUUUGUUGGUGAGGUAACGGCCCACCAAGGCAACGAUCAGUAGCCGGACUGAGAGGUUGAACGGCCACAUUGGGACUGAGACACGGCCCAGACUCCUACGGGAGGCAGCAGUGGGGAAUAUUGCACAAUGGGCGCAAGCCUGAAUGCAGCGAUGCCGCGUGAGGGAAGAAGGUUUUCGGAUUGUAAACCUCUGUCAUCGGGGACGAAAAUGACGGUACCCGAGAAGGAAGCUCCGGCUAACUACGUGCCAGCAGCGGC